ACGAAGUAAAUAAAACCGAACGGCUGAAGGGUACACCAAAUUUUCUUUUGUUUCUAUGAUGCAUUUAGCUGUUUGAUUUUGACAGACUGUUGCCAAAUUCAAGAGCAUAUUAUGAGCAACUUGCGAAAUCCUUCCCAAAAUGAGACAGACAUUAGAAAUAAUAACGAAGAACUCGAAGAGUUGAUUCGCAAUGCAAACGGAUCUAGUCCACACGGUCUAAGUUCAGCCGUUCAUUCCACAGUAGCGGCUGUCACAAGUAUUUUUAGAUGGUCACCACAACACAUUAGUAGAAAACGGUCUGCCGAGUCGGAUCAGGACUCUCAAAGUUCCGGCAGUAUGAAUUCUGAUUCGCCAAGCAAAGCAGGCCUUUCCAAAUUUUCAUCUGCUCCCUACCUCCAAGCUAGAUAUGAAGAGAAAAAAGAUGAAUCAGUGGAGGCAGUUGAGUCAGCACCCAACUUUACCAGCGGCUUCACCAAUGGUGGAGAAGUGCGACAUCGUCAUAGCUUUAACAGUAACUAUGAUACACGUCGGACUUCCGACAGUAGUUUGAGAGAGACGGAACAGAAAUCCAGUGGCGACAGUGUGUCUUGGGGUAAAGGUGUAGGGGUCAGUCUUGACAAAACCGAUUCAAAGUCCUCAAAAUCACCGAUCUUAGGAGGGCCAGGCAUAUCCAGAGGCAAGUCGUCGUCGUUCCGAGAGUCAUCGAGUCCCAGCAAAACUCCCAGUAGAUUGGUGGAGAGGUCCGACUCGGGCAGCAGGAGUAGCACAGAGUUUGUGCGGUCUCAUUCAAGGGAACGCUCCUUCGAGAAGUCUCUGGAGAACAUCAUGGACAGGUGCUCCGAGAAGUCAUUGGACAUGAACGUCAGUCUGGAGUCAAAGAACGGAAUGGUCAGUGACAGCAGUCGUGUUGAAGACAGCAGCCUGUCAGCAGCCAAGAAAAGUGCAGAUAAAAGCGAC
rnacentral:misc_RNA from 1 species